AGGAGGUUGAGAAAGCAGGGGAAGUAGAGCCUAUUGAGCACAAAGAAGAGGAAGAACUGCUGCUCCAAAUAAUGAAACAGAGCGAGUAUGAUGUGGUGGAGCAGUUGAGAAAAACACCCGCCCGGAUUUCACUGUUAUCACUGAUCCUGAGCUCGGAAGUCCACCGACAAGCCUUACAAAGAAUCCUGGAUCAAGCCUUUGUGAACCCCGACAUUACUCCGGGGCAAUUUGAGAAGAUAGUAGAACAAAUCCAGGCAUCCAGCUUUGUAGCCUUUUCUGAAGAGGAGGUAGACCCCGCAGGCUUAGGGCACAAUAAAGCUCUGCAUGUAACUGUGAAAUGCAAGGGUUGUAUAGUGGCCAAAGUUCUCAUCGAUAACGGAUCAGCCCUUAAUGUACUGCCCAGCGCAACCUUAGCCAGGCUACCGGUCGACCAAUCGCAUAUACGUCAGAGCGUGAUGAUAGUAAGAGCCUUUGACGGUACAAGGAGGGAAGUACUGGGAGACAUUGACUUACCAAUCCAAGUCGGUGCAUGCACU
rnacentral:misc_RNA from 1 species